CCUGGCUCAGGAUGAACGCUGGCGGCGUGCCUAAUACAUGCAAGUCGAGCGAACAGACGAGGAGCUUGCUCCUCUGACGUUAGCGGCGGACGGGUGAGUAACACGUGGAUAACCUACCUAUAAGACUGGGAUAACUUCGGGAAACCGGAGCUAAUACCGGAUAAUAUAUUGAACCGCAUGGUUCAAUAGUGAAAGACGGUUUUGCUGUCACUUAUAGAUGGAUCCGCGCCGCAUUAGCUAGUUGGUAAGGUAACGGCUUACCAAGGCAACGAUGCGUAGCCGACCUGAGAGGGUGAUCGGCCACACUGGAACUGAGACACGGUCCAGACUCCUACGGGAGGCAGCAGUAGGGAAUCUUCCGCAAUGGGCGAAAGCCUGACGGAGCAACGCCGCGUGAGUGAUGAAGGUCUUCGGAUCGUAAAACUCUGUUAUUAGGGAAGAACAAAUGUGUAAGUAACUAUGCACUCUGACGUCCC
rnacentral:rRNA from 1 species